rnacentral:rRNA from 1 species
UGGGGAAUAUUGGACAAUGGGGGAAACCCUGAUCCAGCAAUGCCGCGUGAGUGAAGAAGGCCUUAGGGUUGUAAAGCUCUUUCGCCCGCGAAGAUAAUGACGGUACCUGGAGAAGCAGCUGCGGCUAACUACGUGCCAGCAGCCGCGGUAAUACGUAGGCAGCAAGCGUUGUUCGGAAUUACUGGGCGUAAAGGGUGCGUAGGCGGCGCUCUAAGUUUGGUGUGAAAUCUCCCGGCUUAACUGGGAGGGUGCACUGAAAACUGGGGCGCUCGAGUAUGGGAGAGGAAAGCGGAAUUCCUGGUGUAGCGGUGAAAUGCGUAGAGAUCAGGAGGAACACCUGCGGUGCAGACGGCUUUCUGGACCAUCACUGACGCUGAGGCACGAAAGCGUGGGUAGCAAACA